AGUGGCGGACGGGUGAGUAACGCGUGAGGAACCUGCCUUUCAGAGGGGGACAACAGUUGGAAACGACUGCUAAUACCGCAUGAUACGUUUUGGGGGCAUCCCUGAGACGUCAAAGAUUUAUCGCUGAAAGAUGGCCUCGCGUCUGAUUAGCUAGUUGGUGAGGUAACGGCCCACCAAGGCGACGAUCAGUAGCCGGACUGAGAGGUUGACCGGCCACAUUGGGACUGAGACACGGCCCAGACUCCUACGGGAGGCAGCAGUGGGGAAUAUUGCACAAUGGAGGAAACUCUGAUGCAGCGACGCCGCGUGAGGGAAGAAGGUCUUCGGAUUGUAAACCUCUGUUGUCAGGGACGAUAAUGACGGUACCUGACGAGGAAGCCACGGCUAACUACGUGCCAGCAGCCGCGGUAAAACGUAGGUGGCAAGCGUUGUCCGGAAUUACUGGGUGUAAAGGGAGCGCAGGCGGGAGAGCAAGUUGGAAGUGAAAUCUGUGGGCUCAACUCACAAAUUGCUUUCAAAACUGUUUUUCUUGAGUGGUGUAGAGGUAGGCGGAAUUCCCGGUGUAGCGGUGGAAUGCGUAGAUAUCGGGAGGAACACCAGUGGCGAAGGCGGCCUACUGGG
rnacentral:rRNA from 1 species